UCUUCGCAUCCAAAGGUGAAGAGCGUCAUAAGGAAUAGGUGAGAAGAGAGGCCCUUUGAAUGUAAACAGCAAAAAGGAUUAUAGCAACACAAUCCAAAACAGUGGGAAGAAGCUAUCAGAACAGUGUAGAGAAAGAACAGCGGCAAGAAGGCGUGACUAAGUACCACUGUUUACCUAAACUUGUGUUUUGUACUGCAGACCCUACGUGUGAGAGAUUUACAUUACCGUUCAGGGUUGCCGUCUGAUCCUUUACGUCCAGACACAACGAUCGCGCAACUUGGUUUGAAUGAGAAUAAGUCCUUCAUUUACAGGAACCAGCUCUUCUUCCUCAAAGACCGUUGACUGACCCUCAUUAUUUACAGAUAUCACCACUACUUUCUCCGCUUCACAGCACAGCGAACCAGUGUUCGUCCCAAGAUGGCAGUGAAUAACCCGAACUGAAACGGACACACAUACUCGGGUUUGGAAAAGACAAGACUGAAGGUUUGGAGCUGGCUAACAGAUGAAUGCUCAAUGUUAUUGCCCCAAAAGAGCUGAUUCUGGUUUGAAAGUCGCUGGGAUAUUAGGAAAGUAAUUCAUUGUGUAACUUUUACAUUUGAAUAUGUUCUUUCCAGAAGCACAAAAAACAAAGUAAAGUUGGGGAAAGCGACAUCACCUCUGAUAAAAGUGCGAUCUUUCAAAGUGCUGCUACAUAUGCAUUAUAUCUAGCAGGGCUGGCAGAGAGGCAGUGACCAGAGAGGACUCCUGCUGAAUGCAAAAUAACUUCACAGCUCUGCCAAAAUACAUCCAGCAAAAAAGCUGAUGUUGAUAAAUCCUGAAAACAAGGUGUCUUGACCAGUUAUAUAAACCUGCAGUCAUUAAAGAGGUGCAGUUUUGUCACGGCCUGGGAGCAAGACGGCGGAUGAUGGUGUCGGAAACAGAAACCUCACUGUUUUUACCAACAAGGUGACCUCAGGCGGCAGGGAAGGCCGACCCAAAACGUCACCUGGAUGUAAAACGCGACACCUUAUAUCACGAACAAUCGACUGUUUAUGAGCUGUGAUCGUUCAGGUGAAGUCUUUCAUGCGCUCCAUAUUGCUACUUCAAUGAGGGGGGUUCACACAUAAAAAGGCAUUGUCCACUGUCAUCUUCUCUGCCAGCCUCAAUUUUGUCCUCUCUUCCAACCAAACUUUCACUGUAUUUCAAAAACCUUUUUUUUUAACCCAGUUAAAAUGUCAUAUCAAUUCAGGAAAAGUACUAACUGUUUGGCCUUGUCACCUUCAGGCCCCAUAUGUA